rnacentral:rRNA from 1 species
AGAGUUUGAUCCUGGCUCAGAAUCAACGCUGGCGGCGUGCCUCAGACAUGCAAGUCGAACGCGAAAUCCCCCUUCGGGGGGAGAGUAGAGUGGCGUCCGGGUGAGUAACACGUGAGUAAUUUGCCUUCGGGUGGGGAAUAACAGCCGGAAACGGCUGCUAAUACCGCAUGAUGCAGCGGCACCUUAUGGUGACAGUUGUUAAAGCGGGGGACCAGCAAUGGCCUCGCGCCUGGAGAGAAGCUCGCGGCAGAUUAGCUAGUUGGUAGGGUAACGGCCUACCAAGGCGACGAUCUGUAGCCGGCCUGAGAGGGCGGUCGGCCACACUGACACUGACACACGGGUCAGACUCCUACGGGAGGCAGCAGUCGGGAAUUUUGGGCAAUGGGCGAAAGCCUGACCCAGCAACGCCGCGUGAAGGAUGAAGUAUUUCGGUAUGUAAACUUCACAAGAAUGGGAAGAAUAAGUGGGGGAUAACACCCCCCAUGAUGACGGUACCAUUUGUAAGCUCCGGCUAACUCCGUGCCAGCAGCCGCGGUAAUACGGGGGGAGCAAGCGUUGUUCGGAUUUACUGGGCGUAAAGGGCGCGUAGGCGGCGCAACAAGUCACUUGUGAAAUCUCCGGGCUUAACCCGGAGCGGUCAAGUGAUACUGUCGUGCUAGAGUGCGGAAGGGGCAACUGGAAUUCUCGGUGUAGCGGUGAAAUGCGUAGAUAUCGAGAGGAACACCUGCGGCGAAGGCGGGUUGCUGGGCCGACACUGACGCUGAGGCGCGAAAGCCAGGGGAGCGAACGGGAUUAGAUACCCCCGUAGUCC